rnacentral:misc_RNA from 1 species
CAGAGUUCAUGCCCUUACGGGUAGAUCUCCCACCCUGUGUUAUUAUCACUUUGUUGCUUUGGCGGGCCGUCAGGCUCACGCCCGACCACCGGCCCCGGCUGGUGAGCGCCCGCCAGAGGACCCAAAACCCUGAAUUAUUAGUGUCGUCUGAGUAAAAUAUUUAAUAUUUA